UGCGGAUUCUCGAAGUGCCCAAGCUGAAG
rnacentral:piRNA from 1 species